rnacentral:rRNA from 1 species
AUUGAACGCUGGCGGCAGGCCUAACACAUGCAAGUCGAACGAGUGGCGGACGGGUGAGUAAUGUCUGGGAAACUGCCCGAUGGAGGGGGAUAACUACUGGAAACGGUAGCUAAUACCGCAUACCAUCGGAUGUGCACAGAUGGGAUUAGCUUGUAGGUGAGGUAACGGCUCACCUAGGCGACGAUCCCUAGCUGGUCUGAGAGGAUGACCAGCCACACUGGAACUGAGACACGGUCAAGACUCGUCAGGGAGGGAGUAGUGGGGAAUAGUGCAAAAUGGGAGCAAGCCUUAUGCAGCCAUGCCGCGUGGAUGAAGAAGGAUUUUGGGUUGUAAAGUAAUUUCAGCGGGGAGGCGUUACCCGAAGAAGAAGCGCCGGCUAACUCCGUGCCAGCAGCCGCUGUAAUAC